UGCACUUCAAGCAUCAGACAGCGAGCCAGAUCAAAUUUACGGAGCUGCACUUCAUUAUUUCUAAGAACUCUGCACUUUCUUGUUUAUUGUUGCCGCAAGUGGAGUGGAUCGUGAUCUGGCUCGUUGUUCCUUUUUCCUAUGCAUAUACUUCUUUGAGAAUUGCUUCUAAAGAGGUAUAGGGCAUGGGAAAAUGGGGCAACUGAGGUACUUCACCACUCAUCUCGAGCAGCACCGCGAAGGCAGCGGCAGAAACGCUUAGAGAAGACAGACAGUGAAGAAAUAAAAGGUAAAUUAAUGAAACUCCCAAUUAAUCCCCAAACUUGUGUAAAAAGGUACUGGCACUAUUUACUCUGGUCUAACACCUAAAUGUCGGUUUCCUCUUAAAACCUGAUUUAUUACAAGAGUAAUAUUUUAAGCAUUUCUCCAACUAGAUUAUUAAAGGUAUCACUUGGUCUAAUGUAAAACACAUGCAUUACUAAGAAGUGACUCCUAUAGUCCUAACUCCCAGAAGUCUCCAACUGAAAAUAAUGGAAACGCGGUCACACAAACUGCAGAAAAUGUCACUCUUUCUCCCCUUCCCACAGAUGCCAGGAUCAGCCAUCACCCAGCCCAGGUGUCUUGGAGGUGGAAGUAGAAGCUCUCUUUGCUCAUGUCAUUUAGUAGAAAAACAGUCAUUAAGCACAAUUUGUAUCUUUCUGUCCAAUUACUUUCAUUUACUGGAAAUAGCAAUGUGUCACAUUAAAUCUGGGGGGGAAAAUACUGCUUUUAUGAAACAAUGUAACUGUACUUAAUGUGUGUCAAAUAAAUAUCUGAUGUUUCAGUCACA